GCGGCGUGCUUAACACAUGCAAGUCGAACGGACACAGAAAGAAAGUUUACUUUCUUUUUGAUGUUAGUGGCGAAAGGGUGAGUAAUGCGUAAGCAACCUGCCUUGUACUGGGGAAUAACAACGGGAAACCGUUGCUAAUACCGCAUAAUAUCCGAAUAUGGCAUCAUAUUCGGAUCAAAGGAGCAAUCCGGUAUAAGAUGGGCUUGCGUCCGAUUAGCUAGUUGGUAAGGUAAAGGCUUACCAAGGCAACGAUCGGUAGCCGAACUGAGAGGUUGAUCGGCCACAUUGGGACUGAGACACGGCCCAGACUCCUACGGGGGGCAGCAGUGGGGAAUAUUGCACAAUGGACGAAAGUCUGAUGCAGCAACGCCGCGUGAAGGAAGAAGGUUUUCGGAUUGUAAACUUCUUUGAUCAGGGAAGAAAGGGAAUGCAAAUUCUUUUGACAGUACCUGAGGAACAAGCCACGGCUAACUACGUGCCAGCAGCCGCGGUAAUACGUAGGUGGCAAGCGUUAUCCGGAAUUACUGGGUGUAAAGGGCGCGUAGGCGGGAUUACAAGUCAGAUGUGAAAUACCCAGGCUCAACUUGGGGGCUGCAUCUGAAACUGUAAUUCUUGAGUGUCGGAGAGGAAAGUGGAAUUCCCCGUGUAGCGGUGAAAUGCGUAGAGAUGGGGAGGAACACCGGUGGCGAANGCGACUUUCUGGACGAUAACUGACGCUGAGGCGCGAAAGCGUGGGUAGCAAACAGGAUUAGAUACCCUGGUAGUCCACGCUGUAAACGAUGGAUACUAGGUGUGGGAGGUAUCGACCCCUUCCGUGCCGCAGCUAACGCAAUAAGUAUCCCACCUGAGGAGUACGGCCGCAAGGCUGAAACUCAAAGGAAUUGACGGGGGCCCGCACAAGCAGUGGAGUAUGUGGUUUAAUUCGAAGCAACGCGAAGAACCUUACCAGGGCUUGACAUCCCUUGCAUACCGUAGAGAUACGGGAAACCCUUCGGGGCAAGGAGACAGGUGGUGCAUGGUUGUCGUCAGCUCGUGUCGUGAGAUGUUGGGUUAAGUCCCGCAACGAGCGCAACCCCUGUUGUUGGUUGCCAUCAGGUAAAGCUGGGCACUCCAGCGAGACUGCCGGUGAUAAAUCGGAGGAAGGUGGGGACGACGUCAAAUCAUCAUGCCCCUUAUGUCCUGGGCUACACACGUACUACAAUGGCUGGUCACAGAGGGAAGCGAGUACGCAAGUACGAGCAAAUCUCCAAAAACAGUCUCAGUUCGGAUUGAGGGCUGCAACUCGCCCUCAUGAAGUCGGAAUUGCUAGUAAUUGCAAGUCAGCAUAUUGCAGUGAAUACGUUCCCGGGCCUUGUACACACCGCCCGUCACACCAUGAGAGUCGGGAACACCCGAAGUCGGUAGUAUAACCUGAAAGGGAGUACGCCGCCGAAGGUGGGUUCGAUGAUUAGGGUG
rnacentral:rRNA from 1 species